GCCUGGUUCGGAUUGGGGUCUGCAACUCGACCCCAUGAAGGCGGAGUCGCUAGUAAUCGCAGAUCAGCAACGCUGCGGUGAAUACGUUCCCGGGCCUUGUACACACCGCCCGUCACACCACGAAAGUGGGUAACACCCGAAGCCGGUGGCCCAACCCCUUGGGGAGGGAGCCGUCGAAGGUGGGAUCCGCGAUUGGGGUGAAGUCGUAACAAGGUAGCCGUACCGGAAGGUGCGGCUGGAUCACCUCCUUU
rnacentral:rRNA from 1 species